CAGCCGCCACGGGAAUACGUAGGGUGCAAGCGUUAAUCGGAAUUACUGGGCGUAAAGCGUGCGCAGGCGGUUUGUUAAGACAGAUGUGAAAUCCCCGGGCUCAACCUGGGAACUGCAUUUGUGACUGGCAAGCUAGAGUCUGGCAGAGGGGGGUGGAAUUCCGCGUGUAGCAGUGAAAUGCGUAGAUAUGCGGAGGAACACCGAUGGCGAAGGCAGCCCCCUGGGCCAACACUGACGCUCAUGCACGAAAGCGUGGGGAGCAAACAGGAUUAGAUACCCCCGUAGUCCCUGUCUCUUAUAC
rnacentral:rRNA from 1 species